UAAGGGUCUGUGGAAAUAUAUUUGGUUCCGUCCUGUGAACUGCAGCUUCUGUCUUUCUUUUCCGCUGCUGGGAUCUGAUCUGUGUUUGCAGUGAUGUGAACCCUGUGAUGUUUCGCUGAUACCAUGUGCAUUUCUUUAUGUAGGGUCUGAAGAACCAGUCUGGGAUCAAGCUGAACAUCGUCAGAUGUCCGCCAGUGACCACUGUGCUCAUCAGACGACCAGACCUGCGUUACCAGCUGGGGUUCAGCGUCCAGAACGGCAUUAUCUGCAGCCUUAUGCGUGGGGGCAUCGCUGAGAGGGGCGGGGUCAGAGUGGGACACCGCAUCAUCGAGAUCAACAGCCAGAGCGUGGUGGCCACGCCCCAUGAGAAGAUCGUCCACAUCCUGUCCAACGCUGUGGGAGAGAUCCACAUGAAGACAAUGCCUGCAGCCAUGUACCGCCUGCUGACCGCCCAGGAGCAGCCUGUUUACAUCUAAGAAGACUGAGCUCUGACCUCACACACCUCUAACCCCCCCCCCUCUCCGGCGCUCACCCUGCACCCUUCUGGUCCCAGCUGGUGGACUGUAGUGAGUUGUUAGUGGGAUUGUUCUGUUGCUCUGCCUCAUCUUCAUGUGACAACAUAGAAACCCAGAAUGUCUGUCGUCACUAAAAGAUUAGUUUUCUUACUUUGGCUAAAUGUACAAAGGGUGAAAGAUGAUUACACCUGUUGCUAUUUCUGCGCCUAGUAGUGCCCCGCAAUCCUCAACACAUUUCACACUUUCAAACUUGGGAGCAGUUCCUCAGUGCAUCUCUAAUGUUCAGUUUAGGCAACUUUUAACUAUAUGGUCAUUGUUUAAUCAGAACAAUUAGAACUUCUCACACACUAUAAACCUUAUAUUUAAUGAGCAAUCUGCACAUCUAACCCUGACUGUCCUUUCUGCCAUGCUGCUAUUUCAUGUCUUUAUACACGUAGUUCCUCCACCUAAUUAUUGAUGUGUUUUUUUAUUCAGUUUUCAUGUUUUAGCUACAUUUCAUGGGACCAAGCUGGAGCCUGCUACUGUAACUCAGUGUGAACCAUGCUGACAGAUGAGUGUGAGCACACACUUCCCCUUGGCACAUUCCAUAUGUCCGCUGCUUUGGAAGAGUUGACGCUGCACAUUUCCAACAGAUACGUUUCUGACUCCAUUGUCACGGUCAGUUUUGGCUGAUCAUUUAUUAGGUUUUGUAUCCUCUGUACAGAGCACAAGCUGUAGCUCCGUCAGGUUGGUGAAAUUAAGCCUUUAUAAUUUGGCCUCUAUAGAAAUUUGAUUUAUUCAUUGCUGGUUUGAUAAUGUAGUAAUAGGUAAUGGAGUGUGCUCGGGACUACAUCAUACCAUUGUAUGUGGAUGCACAAAGCACUCAACUGCAUGAUGUACUGUACAUGUGUAUAGUCUGUUUCCUUAACAUUGUACAGGGUUUACUGAUCUCUGUACACAGGACACUGCUCGUAGUGCAUACAAGCCACUUUAAAUGAUCUAGCUAUAGGCGAGUAUGGCACCAACAAACAAAGGCUGGCCCCUAAUUAUAAUUCGGCAGCUCAACAACAGUCAUGGCAUCAUGUCACUGACUUUCGCUUUCUCUUGCUAAAAACAGUCUUAUUCAGUAAAUCAUUCAUCUGGCUUCUACUUGCUUUUUUUUUCUUUUGUUAACUACUGCUUAUGAAACUUGGCUGCAGUUUUCACAUUAAAAGUCUACAUUUUAUGGUUUUGUUCCCUUUAAGCCACCAGUUUUUAGCCAAGGUUUUGAAUGUUAACUGUGGGUUCAGGAGGUGUUUCGUGUAAGUUACAGCAGCUGAAAGUUUCAAUCCCAAAGAUCUCUCUCUGUGUUUGCAGCUGGGUUUUGUAGAUUUCACUUCCCACGAGAUCCUGCAAAUACCCAGUUUGUAAUAUAUGCAUUUUGCAACACAUUUAUCAGGGUUUAGUCUGCAUUGACAGAACAUUAAAAGAGGAGCAGAUAAGAACAUAUUAAGGCUUAUUAACAAAAUAUGAUGAUGAAGUAUAAGACUGAUAACUAAAAAUACAAUCCUCCUUCAGGAAAGGCCUGAUUCAUUUGAGGGAGAGAAUGGCCUCCAACAGUACAAUAGAGAAUGCACAAUGACAAGCAAAAUGCUGCCUUUAUUCAAUUGGAAAUAAGAAACAGUGAAUUGUUUUUGUUAAUACGCUUUCCAUUAAUAUAAUUAUGAAUAAUUUCAGGGAGACAUUUAUCAGCAAAGACAUCCCAUAUACAGCUUUCUAUAUGUAGCACUAUUUAAUCACCCAAUUUGUGUUAUUUCUAUUAUGAGUUUAACUGUGUAACGUGACAUUUUCUUUAAGGGGAAGAAAGAGUGGGAAGGAGGGGGGAGACAUAUUAUCAGGAUUAUUAGCAUAUUUUGAGUUAUGAAUACCUAUAACCCAGCAGAGUACAGAUCCCUGAAGUAUUAACGGCAAAGAGAUGCGUAGUAUUAUGGCAUGCGGCAGUUUCUCUCACGUUCCUGAAUACAGACUUUCUGUUCCUGCACUGCAGACUUUUCACGACUCAUACUCUUAUCCAAAGUGCAAUGUUUUAUUUUGUUAACUUGAAAUAUGAUUAUUUUCAUUACCUUUUUCUUAUUUAAAUGUUCUCUGAUAAUUUGAUACUUUUAUGUUGUAUUCAGGGUUCGAGUUAUGUGGGAGCCAAUGGGAGCUGAGCUCCCAUAAGGAGGUCUGAGCUCCCACGGACGCAGUGAAAUCAUACAUAUGUGGGGGUCACUAAUACAUUAGCAACAACCAUUAUUUUAAUCACAAAUAAUGCAUGUGUCAAUGUAUUGAGUAUUAUUUACGUUAACGAGGUAAAUAGGCUAAAAGAAAAACAUGUUUUCCAAAAGAAUUACGCAUCUCUUGAAUGACAGUAUGCCUGCGCUGCACCGCCAAGGUGCGCAAUAAAUGAUUGCGCAAUCUAUGCCUUUGAGCGUGCUGCGCGAGCCGAGAUGAUGUGUGUGUGCGUAGUUGAACCUAUUCAUAUUUAAGUUUGUAGCAAGUAGAGGGCUGCUGCUGCUGCGUG